AGAACGAACGCUGGCGGCAUGCCUAAUACAUGCAAGUCGAACGAACACUUCGGUGUUAGUGGCGCACGGGUGCGUAACGCGUGGGAAUCUGCCCUUGGGUUCGGAAUAACAGUUGGAAACGACUGCUAAUACCGGAUGAUAUCGAAAGAUCAAAGAUUUAUCGCCCAGGGAUGAGCCCGCGUAGGAUUAGCUUGUUGGUGAGGUAAAAGCUCACCAAAGCGACGAUCUGUAGCUGGUUUGAGAGAACGACCAGCCACACUGGGACUGAGACACGGCCCAGACUCCUACGGGAGGCAGCAGUGGGGAAUUUGGACAAUGGCGAAAGCCUGAUCCAGCAAUGCCGCGUGCAGGAAGAACGGCCUUCGGGUUG
rnacentral:rRNA from 1 species